rnacentral:rRNA from 2 species
UGGCUCAGAACGAACGCUGGCGGCAGGCUUAACACAUGCAAGUCGAGCGGGCGUAGCAAUACGUCAGCGGCAGACGGGUGAGUAACGCGUGGGAACGUACCUUUUGGUUCGGAACAACACAGGGAAACUUGUGCUAAUACCGGAUAAGCCCUUACGGGGAAAGAUUUAUCGCCGAAAGAUCGGCCCGCGUCUGAUUAGCUAGUUGGUGAGGUAAUGGCUCACCAAGGCGACGAUCAGUAGCUGGUCUGAGAGGAUGAUCAGCCACAUUGGGACUGAGUCUCGGCCCAAAGAACUACGGGAGGCA